AGUGAACGCUGGCGGUAGGCCUAACACAUGCAAGUCGAACGGCAGCACAGUAAGAGCUUGCUCUUACGGGUGGCGAGUGGCGGACGGGUGAGGAAUACAUCGGAAUCUACUUUUUCGUGGGGGAUAACGUAGGGAAACUUACGCUAAUACCGCAUACGACCUACGGGUGAAAGCAGGGGAUCUUCGGACCUUGCGCGAUUGAAUGAGCCGAUGUCGGAUUAGCUAGUUGGCGGGGUAAAGGCCCACCAAGGCGACGAUCCGUAGCUGGUCUGAGAGGAUGAUCAGCCACACUGGGGCUGAGACACGGUCCAGAGUCCUACGGGAGGCAGCAGUGGGGAAUAUUGGACAAUGGGCGCAAGCCUGAUCCAGCCAUACCGCGUGGGUGAAGAAGGCCUUCGGGUUGUAAAGCCCUUUUGUUGGGAAAGAAAAGCAGCAGGUUAAUACCCCGCUGUUCUGACGGUACCCAAAGAAUAAGCACCGGCUAACUUCGUG
rnacentral:rRNA from 1 species